rnacentral:lncRNA from 1 species
AAUAUUUCCUCUCCUUGUGACAGAUUGCCACCCCAAACUACCAAAUGAUUGCCUGCUUCAAACCUCCACAUUCCUUCCUCAAAAACACACCCUCUGAAUCUGCUCCCUUCUUUCUCUUUCUGCCACGUGUGAAGUUAGUUACUACCAUGUGCCUCAAUUUCUAUUUCUUCCUUUCUUCCUAAUUUGCCCUGAUCUUUCUUACGUUGUCUCUGAUAUACCCUUUGGAUUGGGGGUCCAUCA